GAGGGGCUGUACAUGCAGGCCAUGCACAGGUGCGAGAGGGGCUGUACAUGCAGGCCAUGCAUAGGUGCGAGAGGGGCUGUACAUGCAGGCCAUGCACAGGUGCGAGAGGGGCUGUACAUGCAGGCCAUGCACAGGUGCGAGAGGGGCUGUACAUGCAGGCCAUGCACAGGUGCGAGAGGGGCUGAACAUGCAGGCCAUGCACAGGUGCGAGAGGGGCUGUACAUAUAGGCCGUGCACAGGUGCGAGGAGGGGCUGUGCAUGCAGGCCAUGCACAGGUGCGAGAGGGGCUGUACAUGCAGGCCGUGCACAGGUGCGAGGAGGGGCUGUACAUGCAGGCCGUGCACAGGUGCGAGAGGGGCUGUACAUGCAGGCCGUGCACAGGUGCGAGAGGGGCUGUACAUGCAGGCCAUGCACAGGUGCGAGAGGGGCUGUACAUGCAGGCCGUGCACAGGUGCGAGGAGGGGCUGUGCAUGCAGGCCGUGCACAGGUGCGAGGAGGGGCUGUGCAUGCAGGCCAUGCACAGGUGCGAGAGGGGCUGUACAUGCAGGCCAUGCACAGGUGCGAGAGGGGCUGUACAUAUAGGCCAUGCACAGGGGCUAGGAGGGACUGUACAUGCAGGCCAUGCACAGGUGCGAGAGGGGCUGUACAUAUAGGUCAUGCACAGGUGUGAGGAGGGGCUGUGCAUGCAGGCCGUGCACAGGUGUGAGGAGGGGCUGUGCAUGCAGGCCGUGCACAGGUGCGAGGAGGGGCUGUGCAUGCAGGCCGUGCACAGGUGCGAGGAGGGGCUGUGCAUGCAGGCCGUGCACAGGUGCGAGAGGGGCUGUACAUGCAGGCCGUGCACAGGUGCGAGGAGGGGCUGUGCACGCAGGCCGUGCACAGGUGCGGCCGGAGAGGGGCCGGGCCGGGCUGGCGGGCGGACCCACGGGCCAGACUCGGUGCUGCCUGCCGCCUGCUGUCUUGUAAGCCAGCCCCCUAGGAGCUAACAGAGGCCUGAUGGCCAGGCCUGGAAGUCAUGGCUGUAAAUGCAGCUUCUUAGCAAGAGGCGCUACUGUUCUUAAAAGGAAAACAGCUCUCCUAAGUUUCUACAAAUCAGAAUAGUAGAGUGGUCUGAAGUGUAAGCUCUGGACUCAUUGCUGGGAAUUAAAACACCCCCUAGGCCAGCACUGCUGGGUCUGUAAUGUGUAUGCAGGUUACCUGAGGGUCUGGUUUGAAAUGCAAAGUGUGGUUUUGUAGGCCUUAAAUUCUGCAUUUCUGCCAGCCUAUGCUGCAGGCUCCUUUGAAAGGCAAGGGACUACUUGAUUUCAAACAAGUUAUUUAACCUCCCUAAGCCUCCGUUUCCUCAGCCAUAGAAUAGAGGUAAUGUAAUUACUUGUAUUAUGGGAGAGGACCAAUGCAAAAUGCGUAGCAGUGUGCUUGGCAGGUAGUCAGUAUUUAAUAAAUAUUAGGUGUCACCUUUAA